GACGAACGCUGGCGGCGUGCUUAACACAUGCAAGUCGAACGGAAAGGCCUUUUCGGAGGUACUCGAGUGGCGAACGGGUGAGUAACACGUGGGUGAUCUGCCCUGCACUCUGGGAUAAGCCUGGGAAACUGGGUCUAAUACCUGAUAGGACCGCACUUUAGGGUGUGUGGUGGAAAGUUUUUUCGGUGUAGGAUGAGCCCGCGGCCUAUCAGCUUGUUGGUGGGGUAAUGGCCUACCAAGGCGGCGACGGGUAGCCGGACUGAGAGGUUGGUCGGCCACAUUGGGACUGAGAUACGGCCCAGACUCCUACGGGAGGCAGCAGUGGGGAAUAUUGCACAAUGGGCGCAAGCCUGAUGCAGCGACGCCGCGUGGGGGAUGACGGCCUUCGGGUUGUAAACUCCUUUCGCCAGGGACGAAGCGUUUUGUGACGGUACCUGGAGAAGAAGCACCGGCUAACUACGUG
rnacentral:rRNA from 1 species